GGAGAGGUGCCGGAGUGGCCGAACGGGCCGGUUUCGAAAACCGGUGAACCUGCAAGGGUUCCGGGGGUUCAAAUCCCCCCCUCUCCGCCA
rnacentral:tRNA from 2 species